CGGGCUGGCCCCGGCGGACGGCUGCAGGGAGGCCCUGAUUCCUCGCAGCCAUCCACACAGAAGUGGUUUGAUAUAAUCACCAUGACAACUGCCGCCUAUAAGCAUACAAAUAAUAGAGAUGAAAUAGACAAAAGAUUAGCAUGCCAUGAAAAGUACAAUAAGUUUCUUAUUUAGCAUUUAGAUAACUGUCUUUCCUUCGGAGCAGGCUUCAAAGUUGAACCCAGUUUAGACCAAGAGGAUUAAUUCUUUCUCCCGCAUGCUUCAUUGAAUCUCUCAUUACCAAACUUUGUCUGUAUUGAUGUAAGAUUUGAUUGAAGAUUAGAGCAUUUAGCAAAUCUUGCUUUUCUGCAUGUAUCAGGCCUUUUCAAGCGCAGACCGCGCUGCCCAGUGGUCAAUACCCUUACUUUUAUCCAGUGUCUGCUUCAUUUAAACUUAAUCAACUCCCUCAAUGAACUGGAACAGGGAAACGUCCCUGAGGUAAGAAUGUUGUGCUUUUCUUAGAUAAUUCUUUGCUCCCUCUCCCAAUCCUCUGGCGUUAAACCUAAAAUUGCUCUCUGAUGAACUUAAUCAAUAUGAUAAUGACAAUUGGGGCUGAAUGGCUCGGCCUGUGCUCAGCACGGAAAAGGUAGACGGCUGUGCCCGCUGCCCAAAAGCAACUUCUCCUUUCUCGCCUCUCCUUUUGUGUUCACUUCUCCCACCUUUCUUUCUCUCUCUCCCCCUCUUCCCCCCUCCGUGACACCGAGCGCUGUUCACGCUGGAGAAUGAUGCUUCUUUGUGCGGCAGGAGGACUCGUAUGUCACCGCCCGGAGGAGCGGAGCCGAGCCAAUGGCCGGGUGAAUUAUCUGCCUUGUUGCAGUGAAUUAUUUGCGCUGUUUCCUUUCCCAGUCAACAAGUUUCUGAGCUUGACUUUGAAUUUCCUUAAGUGCCAGAGCGAGGAUACGGUGCUGGGUAGUGCACUGCCGUGCGCUAUAUUUAGAAAGCAGCUGGAAGAGAAAAUGUCCUCAGGAAUCCGGACUGUUUUGUUGGAAAUGUCCCUCCGGUCCCGGCGGUGUGCUCGUAAACGCAGGUUCUAGAGACGUGUGAGCUGCCGGGGGCGCUGGGUAAGGACGGGAGCCGCUGUUCACCCCACGGCACCGCCCAGCAGCCCCAGAGCUGCCCAGGGCAGCGAGAGGUGCCGGGGCCCGGGCUGCUCGCCCACCCUGGCGGUGGGGGCAGCGGCGCUUGGGGUUCUCCCCGCUGGCACCGCCGCUCUCCGCCCGGGGAAGCGGCAGCUUGCCCCCACAUUUCCGUGCAGAGAGCAGGGCCAGCGGUCCGUGCCCGCUCGGGUGGCACCGACACUCCUCCCCCUCCCUGCAGCGGCAACAGCACUCUGAGCCCCACACCUGCCAGGAGCGAGGGUCGAUGCUAAACGAGGUCCUGUCCGCUGGGGCUUGGCUCUUGGGGGACGGGGUUCCUGGGGCAGAGAGACAUCCCCGCCUGGCUGUCACUCAGGGUGGGAGCCCCGGCGGCACCGGAACCGAGUCC
rnacentral:lncRNA from 1 species